GCCGGAGUGGCGGAAUUGGCAGACGCGCCGGAUUCAAAAUCCGGUUCCCGCUUAGGGAGUGUGGGUUCGAGUCCCACCUCCGGUA
rnacentral:tRNA from 1 species